rnacentral:misc_RNA from 1 species
AACGCAAAUUGCGCUCGAGGCUUCGGCCAAGAGCAUGUCUGCCUCAGCGUCGGGUUAAUACUCGCCCAUGCACUCACAUCUGUGUGUGCGUUGCGUGCGGACCUGGCCGUCCCGGUGUCUUAAUUGCCGCCGGGUUGGCUGAAGUACAGAGGUUGAUGCAUGGACCCGCUCAUGGGCCUCAACUGGGUAGGCAACUUGUUGCUAAAUGCUUUAGUUGAUGGCUUGGAUCCGUGCUUGUCGGCCCGAAACAGGAACUCAGGCCUCGUGCCCGAGAACUAACCCAUUUUCUCGACCUGAGCUCAGGCAAGAUUACCCGCUGAACUUAA